AACGAUUGAAGAAUCAGUCGUACCUAUGGGUAAUCAGCCUUUUGGGUGUGAUUUUGUGGAGCGUGAGGAGUUAAACGCCUUCAUGCCUGCAUAUUCGUGCACUUUGGGUGUACUUGCCCGUGUGGUUGGUUAACAUCAAUUUUGGUGGUCAUAAAAUGACUGGAGGAAUGUAGCUUCGAUCUCGUAUUGAAGUGUUAUAGCCUUCGGUAGAUGUGAUGAUCGAGAUUGAGGAUUGCAACGGAUACCCUUCGGGGCUACCUGUCUGGUCUCUGAUCGUUGCUCUGGUGCCGAAAGCUUGCUUACGGUUAUCAAAGUCGAUGGUCAAUAGGUUAGAACGGGUUAAA
rnacentral:rRNA from 1 species